rnacentral:tRNA from 1 species
CCCUCGAUAGCUCAGUCGGCAGAGCGGAGGACUGUAGAUGUUACAACGGUGAUCCUUAGGUCGCUGGUUCAAAUCCGGCUCGAGGGA